CCCUAGUUCUACACCUCUAAACUGCCACUGACCCAUUUACUACUCGAGAAUUUCUUCACCUUAUCUCUGCUGAAAUCUAUUGACCAAAAAAAAUCUCUACUGAAAAUUUUCUGAUUCUGAUUCUGAUUCAAAUGCAUGAACCCUAAUUUCCCCUAAUAGUUGCAAUUGGUGCCUGAUUUGUGAACCUCUUGAAUCACCUGACAUAGUCUCUUCGCUUACGUGUUGGAAAUCCCGGAGUCCGCGAUUUGGCAUAUGAAUAAGAUUGCUUCAUUCAUCUCCUUCUUCUCACCCUUGCUCGCGCCCUGCCUCGUUCUCUCUCAAAUUUUCGCUAGCUCUCCCUAGAUAUAUAGAUGUGGAGACCUCAAUGUGUGCAAUGAUCUCAAUAUUAGGGAAGUUCCAUGGAGGGCAAUUUUUUUAAGUGGUCCACAGGUGAUACAUUGUUAAUACCCUUUGAUUAUGAUCGUCAAUUAAGAAAUCAUUAUGUCAAUGGCCAUAAACAAUGAAUCACCUGCGGACUACUUAAGAACGAUUCACACUUCCCGGGGUAUUUAUGCUGGAAUUUUCCCAUCUUUACCUGAGGAAACUUCUAAAUCAAUGAAGCUCUCUUCCGUAGCCACUCAUUUUAAGCAACAAAACUGCAAGCUUUACCUGGAACCCUGACUACUGAGCCACACUACAUUCGUUAUAUGAAGCCAAAUACUCUUCUCAAGCCAGGGAUAUUCGAGAACAAUAACGUGUUGCAGCAACUUCGGUGUGGGGGACUACUGGAGGCAGUUAAGAUAAAUGGCGCAGUAUAUCCCACUAGAUAGACCUUUGAUGAGUUUGUUCAAUGGUUUAGUAUCUAGUUCUGAAAGCAUGCCCUGACGAAGUGGCUGCGUGCAAUAGGCUUCUAGACAAGGCGAACUUUAAAGAUGAUCAGAUUGUAAGUCCUUGUGCUAUUCAUACUCCACUUCUUCAAGGUCAUUUCGAACUCUCUAAGGAACGGGUCCAAGACGAUCACUUCCAAGCCAACAGGCAAAGCUGGUGCUGGUAGCGGCGGUGCCUUCUCCCGUUUUGGUUUGUUGACAUUCUUUCUUGUUUUCUUCUGUGUUGGUUUCUUGAUCACUUCCUCUCUUUCUGUUUGGACCAUUAUUUUCUCUUUUCCCUUGGCUUCUUUCAUUGUUGUUUUCUUGAUCACUUCCUCUGUUGCUGUUUGGACCAUUAUUUUCUCUUUUCCCUUGCCUUCUUUGAUUGUUGUUUUCUCAAUCACUUCCUCUGCUGCUGUUUCGACCAGUAUUUUCUCUUUUCCCUUGGCUUCGUUCAUUGUUGUUUUGACCCUCUUUCCAUCUCUGGCCAAGCCUUCAUCAGCAUCAGUUUGGAAUUUCCUUUUCUUGUUCUUGAACGCCUCUUCAAUGUCCUCUAUUUGUGCCAACUCUUCUUUGGUAUAAAAGUGUGGUGCAACUAGUGAUAAAAGUCUAGUCAAAUGAAAAUGUGAGAGUGGGUUGAAAGGCACAUUCUUGUUGCGUUCAAUCCUAGCUGCUAUGUCUUCCAUCAAAGCUUUCUUCUCUGCCAUUUUUAAAGCUUUCUUCUCUACCAUGCUUUGUAACCUUUUCAAGACUCAAUGUGGUUGUAAAUCAAAAGAAUGUUCAGAGGACUAUUUAUAAAGAGAUCAAUUAUAACUGAGUUAAUAAUAAUCA